UUAUGAAGCUGCGUCCGGAAUUUGAGCAUUGUCGGCCUGCUCUCUUGAACCGUAGCCCUACUCCUUCAUUGAAUUCGGUUAUUAAUGAAUUAUUGGCUGAGGAACAACGACUGAAAGUUCUCUCUUCCUUCCUCAACUCCGGGAUCAUCUGAUAUGGUGCUUGCUGUGUCCACCACUAUACCAACACGUGGUUCCACUCCUUUGACUUGUCGCGGCUGCAACAAGGUGGGUCAUGUUAUCGCUUAAUGCAAAGAAUGAUGUACAUAUUGUCGACGGACUGGUCAUGGUAUUCAGGACUGCCGUAUACGUGCCUAUGCAUCUUCUUUCGGCCGUGGACGUGGUGGUUGUGGUCGUGGCUGUGGUCGUGCUUUUUCUGCUACUGUUGCCACUAUUUCUUCAGAGCCAUCUGUUAGUGAUUCUACAUCUACUGUUUCUGCUGAAGGUCUUUCAUCUCCGUUGACUCCUGCGAUGCUUCAGCAAAUCGUUCAGGCCCUUUCUGCGGCCGGUAUGUCAGGAUCUGGCAACGGGGAAGGUACUUGGGAGGGGUAGGCGGCAUGGUUGUCUGUACGUGCUGGAUUUUGAUCCAUCUGUCACUAUGGCUCAUUGUUUCUUUUCUCCAUCUUCAUCAGAUAUUUGUUCGGCAAAUAAAUUGUGGAAACUGUGGCACUUUCGCCUGGGUCAUCCACAUUCCGAUCGGUUACUUCAGUUAAUUUCGUCUGGCAUGUUAGGGAAUAUUUCUCUUAAUAAAAAUGAUUUGGAUUAUUCUUGUU